AUGGCCUCCCCUUUGGAUGCCAACUCUGCCACCAGCGGAGGCGCCUCGGCGGCCGCAACCCCCAUCCUGGAAGAUUUCUUCGAUCAGCUAGAUCUGAACGAUGAGGAGUUCAAUGAUGUUGAGAUUGAUGAGGAGGAUCCCGAAAUCAAGGAGAGCGUUCGAUGGCUAGCCCUAGCUAGGGUUCACACCGAUAAGAAUUUCUCACAGGCAACCUUUUACAAGGAUAUGAGGGCAGCCUGGAAUCCGGCGCAACGGGUGAGAUUUCGCCCGGUCGGACCCAACAGAUUCGUUGUCCAAGCUUCUUGCUUGGGCGACUGGGAGCGGAUGAUGAUGCAAGGCCCUUGGCUCUUCCGCAACAUGGCAGUUCUGAUGUGUUCAUACGAUGGUUUCACCAAAGCGGAUGAUGUGAUUUUUGAUCAUAUGCCCAUCUGGUUGCAGGUUCAUAAACUCCCAGAUCCCUACUGCAAAUAG
rnacentral:rRNA from 1 species